AUUGAACGCUGGCGGAAUGCUUUACACAUGCAAGUCGAACGGUAGAGGGGGCAACCCCUCGAGAGUGGCGAACGGGUGAGUAAUAUAUCGGAACGUGCCCAGUCGUGGGGGAUAACGUAGCGAAAGUUACGCAAAUACCGCAUACGAUCUAAGGAUGAAAGCGGGGGAUCGCAAGACCUCGCGCAAUUGGAGCGGCCGAUAUCAGAUUAGGUAGUUGGUGGGGUAAAGGCUAACCAAGCCAACGAUCUGUAGCUGGUCUGAGAGGACGACCAGCCACACUGGAACAUAGACACGGUCCAGACUCCUUCGGGAGGCAGCAGUGGGGAAUUUUGUACAAUGGACGCAAGUCUGAUCCAGCCAUUCCACGUGCAGGAUGAAGGCCCUCGGGGUGUAAACUGCUUUUGUACGGAACGGAAAGGUCUCUCUUAAUACGGGGGGCUCAUGACGGUACCGUAAGAAUAAGCACCGGCUAACUACGUGCCAGCCGCCGCCGUAA
rnacentral:rRNA from 1 species